AUUAAACCGAAGGAGAAAAAAAAAGAAACAAAUCGUCCUCCUUUCCCAUUCACCACCGCCCCAAUUCCUCCCCCUCUUCCUCUCCCUCGUCUGCCGCCGCCGCCACUCACCGGACACAGCCGUCGCCGCCACCAGUGCCCUCCCCCACAGCCUGCACCCCAAUCCUUCUCUCCUCCAGUCACCUUAUCCCCACCACUAGUGAGCUCCUCCUCCCCCCACCCCGCUCGCCCCAGAUCGAGUAGUAGGUUCGGGUUCACGGCCAAGGCGGCGCGAGCGCUCCGAUGCUGGUUCAAGCAGCUUGAGGUGGGUGCUCCCUGCGGCUCUUACCCUUGUGCCGACGCCAUGGACAAGGAGAACAUAUACCUCUGUUAGUGUAGCAGCCCCAACCCUAGCCCUUCUUCGGCCAUGGCGACCUAGCAAGCAGGAGGAUCGAAUCCCUUUUCUUAUCCCCUUAUGUGAUGCGUGCCUCUGCUUGUAGAGGCGUGGAGAAUUUUUCAGUGCCAAGCAUGUAAUUAGAGAAUAAAUAUAGCGGCAAAUGAGAUUAUCGAGCUGUUAUACGAACCGAUUGUUACUCGGUUUCCGAUCAUUGCCAAGCAGAAGAAUGUCGAGCGUACCUGAAAGAAGGUAUCUGCAGUUUGAUAUUUGCAGCCCCAAGGUGCUCUGAAUUCCCUGAACUCAGUCGGAUGCGAGACCUUCUUGAAAAGAAGUAUGGGAAAGAUUUUGUUGUUGCUGCAGUUGAUCUGCACACAAAUGCUAGUGUCAAUACCUUGUAAGGCUAAUUGAGGAAGUUGUCAGUCAUCUCUGGACUACACUAUCAAGUUCCAAAGCGAAGAUUUUGCACAAACAGUACAAGUGUGUCUAUGAUUAUGAGCAGUAUCAGUACUUCAACUCGACAUGAUUUAAGAUGCUAAUCAUAUUCUAGAUAAAUUUUCCAGUGGAAGCUCACAAGAAUCUAUUCUUUGUCAAUGGAAGGUAGACAAUUUUCUCAAACCUGUUUGGAGACACCUGAAUUUACAAUUAAACUAUUCUAUGUUGCUUAUUAUUUCAUCUUCUAUCUACACGUUGCAAAAUUAUGUUGAGGAGCUUCACACAGAAUUGGUAUAUCCCAUAAUAAUUAAUUUGUAUUGCUCAAAGAAAGGCUCAGAGUUUUUUUCGCUAGCACGGAUGAGCAUCAGCUAAUGGUUCAUGUGAAUCAGGCUAAUGUAGCUUGACAACCGAAAGAACAACUAUGCCUUUUACAUGUUGAAGACGGGGUGUAACUUGUUCGACUAUAUUUUCUGCGUUCCCUGCAUCUGUUGCUUUGUAUCUUGACAGGGAAUCAAGAAUUGUCCCCACCUACAAAUUUAUCAAACAUGAUAGCAGUUAAGAACCCAAUAGCAAGAACUACAUCAUACUCUGUGCAUCCAUUCAGAGCAGUCAAAAGUUUUGUCGAUGUAUAUCUUUGUAAUCUCAAAGAUCAGAUGAGUACUGUUGCGUUGAAUCUCUGCAAGAGCAGCAACAACAUUUGCAACCACCAUAGCAUUAUUGUCAAAAAUUAAGUCUUUGAGGGCCUCCAGAAAUCCUCUGCCUCCAAUAGCUCAACAUUUAUAUCAUGUACUAAACUCUCCAGUUUAGUUUUCGCGGAUAUAAGAUAAUAUGGAGAUUAUGGGGUGUAAUUCUUCAGAUGUAGAAAUGUCACAUUUUGCUCAGCGUUCCGAGAGUACAAUAGAGGCCAAAACCAAGAUUUUGGAUUCUCAAACAUACAAUUUGCAUGUGAAUAAAUGUGUAAGUUUACAAUGCAUGGUUGUAUCACAAACUAUGGUUACAAGUUGCUCUCUAGGAACUCAUGAUGUGUUGUUUGCAUUAUUUGUCUGAUUUUCUGUUGUACUCUGUAAAAACUUGGAUGUUUCCAUGCAAUAUUUAUUACAAGAAAUUUACAGAUAA